UACGGGGGGGGCAAGCGUUGUUCGGAAUUACUGGGCGUAAAGGGCUCGUAGGCGGCCAACUAAGUCAGACGUGAAAUCCCUCGGCUUAACCGGGGAACUGCGUCUGAUACUGGAUGGCUUGAGUUUGGGAGAGGGAUGCGGAAUUCCAGGUGUAGCGGUGAAAUGCGUAGAUAUCUGGAGGAACACCGGUGGCGAAGGCGGCAUCCUGGACCAAUACUGACGCUGAGGAGCGAAAGCCAGGGGAGCAAACGGGGAUUAGAAACCCCCUGGUAG
rnacentral:rRNA from 1 species